GGACUUCACUAUGGAGAAGAUUUGGGAGAUGGCAACUUGGUCUCCAUAUUGUGACCCCAGCUUGCCCCUCUCUAAACAAGAGAAGAUUCCUCAAUAAAAAUGAAGAUAAGGAUAGGGAUAAAGAGAGAAUGGGGAAGAAAUUUUUUCUAGCAAGAAUAGAGAGGGGGAGGGAAAGGGGAGAAAAUUUUCCCAUCAAAAAGGGACAAAGAAGCCUUGUUAUCCCUGUAUCAAACACGGGGACGAGGAUUAUGGUUUUUAACAUUUCCUUGCCUUAUUGUCAUCUCCAAAAAGAUUCAAAUAGUAACAAAUAGAAAAAGAAAUUGAAACA